ACGCAUCUUUGAAAACCCCUCUUGGACCUUUGUGGCCCACGGGACAAAAAAGGGUGCAAGAGAACGUUUGGAAUUCCAAGGUCGAGAGAUGUGUCAGUUUCUCUCGGCCAUUUCACCUCCAAGACAUCA
ensembl:snoRNA small nucleolar RNA SNORA14